CGUGUUGCGGGGCAGGUAGUUGACGAAUACCGCGCCGCGCAUCUGGUCGAUCAGGUGGAACAGCGGGUUCCAGGCAAAAAGCGGCAGCAUGAAGGCAGGCAGGGUAUUGGCCACGAACAUCUUGCCGCUGGCGAACAUGUUGAUCCGGCUG
rnacentral:ncRNA from 1 species